GAUGAAGAACGUAGCGAAAUGCGAUAAGUAGUGUGAAUUGCAGAAUUCAGUGAAUCAUCGAAUCUUUGAACGCACAUUGCGCCCUCUGGUAUUCCGGGGGGCAUGCCUGUUCGAGCGUCAUUAUAACCACUCAAGCUCUCGCUUGGUAUUGGAGUUCGCGAUCUCGCGGCUCCUAAAAUCAGUGGCGGUGCCUGUCGGCUCUACGCGUAGUAAUACUCCUCGCGAUUGAGUCCGGUAGGUUUACUUGCCAGCAACCCCCAAUUUUUACAGGUUGACCUCGGAUCAGGUAGGGAUACCCGCUGAACUUAAGCAUAUCAAUAAGCGGAGGA
rnacentral:misc_RNA from 1 species